rnacentral:lncRNA from 1 species
AGAAUGAUAAAAAGCAAGGGGAACAUGGGUCAGGUUGCCAAGUCGCAGAUGCCAUCAUCCAGCUGUAAAUGAUGCUGACAUUCGGGUCUAGCCUUUGCUCUGGGCUCAUUCUUCACUCGACAUACAGAGGAAUCAUUUGAAAACAUACAUCCGAUCCCGCCACUCUUCUCUUCCUCCUCCCCAUUCAGGCCGUAUUCACCUUGCAGCUGCUCCUUAAACACAGGAGACAGUCCCUGGCUCAGGGCCUCUGCACUGGCUGUCCCCUCAGCCUGGGCCCUCUUCCUCAGACCUCAACAGAAGAAUCUUCAACAGGAAGGGAUGAUCACUUACAUGCCCCAACAAAAAAAAAGAGGUACAUGAAUCUUCUAGGAGAAGCUGAUUAUCUCUGCAACUCAGUCAAGAAGGAACCAUCAUUGAACCUGAACUCUUGCUUUUCUCCAAUGGACUCUCAUUCAAAACAACCACUCCCAAUUUCAUCUGUCUUAUCAAUAAAACAGUGUUCCUCUCCUCUGUUGGACUUGCCUAUGGUUUUACCAUAGAUAGCAUGUCCUGAAUUGUAAUGAUCUGCUAUUCCUGAAUAAACCAAUGUUUG